GACGAACGCUGGCGGCGUGCCUAAUACAUGCAAGUAGAACGCACAGUUUAUACCGUAGCUUGCUACUCCAUAAACUGUGAGUUGCGAACGGGUGAGUAACGCGUAGGUAACCUGCCUGGUAGCGGGGGAUAACUAUUGGAAACGAUAGCUAAUACCGCAUAAUAUUGAUUAUUGCAUGAUAAUUGAUUGAAAGAUGCUAUUGCAUCACUACCAGAUGGACCUGCGUUGUAUUAGCUAGUAGGUGAGGUAACGGCUCACCUAGGCGACGAUACAUAGCCGACCUGAGAGGGUGAUCGGCCACACUGGGACUGAGACACGGCCCAGACUCCUACGGGAGGCAGCAGUAGGGAAUCUUCGGCAAUGGACGAAAGUCUGACCGAGCAACGCCGCGUGAGUGAAGAAGGUUUUCGGAUCGUAAAGCUCUGUUGUAAGAGAAGAACGGGUGUGAGAGUGGAAAGUUCACACUGUGACGGUAUCUUACCAGAAAGGGACGGCUAACUACGUG
rnacentral:rRNA from 1 species